CAAUUGAAGAGUUUGAUCCUGGCUCAGAUUGAACGCUGGCGGUAUGGCUAAAACAUGCAAGUCGAGCGCGAACGCCCUUCGGGGUUAUUAGAGCGGCGUAAGGGCGAGGAAUACAUUUCUACGUACCCCAAGGUCGAGGAUAGCUCAGGGAAACUUGAGGUAAUACUCGAUGUGGUGCUUCGGCAUCAAAGGCUUGCUGCCUUGGGAGCGGGGAAUGACCUAUCAGGUUGUUGGUGAGGUAACGGCUCACCAAGCCAUAGACGGGUAGCGGGUGUGAGAGCACGACCCGCCGCAUCGGGACUGAGACACUGCCCGGACUCCUACGGGAGGCUGCAGUAACGAAUCUUCCGCAAUGCACGAAAGUGUGACGGGGCAAUACCGCGUGUGGGAUGAAGCCCUUCGGGGUGUAAACCACUGUCAGGGUUCAGGAAAAAAAUGACCAGACCCAAAGGAAGGGCCGGCUAACUCUGUGCCAGCAGCCGCGGUAAUACAGAGGGCCCGAGCGUUAAUCGGAAUCACUGGGCUUAAAGCGUACGCAGGCGGACAUGUAGGCAUUUUGUGAAAUCCCUCGGCUCAACCGAGGAAUUGCAGAGUGAACCACAUGUCUUGAGGCGAGUAGAGGCGGUCGGAACGAUAGGUGGAGCGGUGAAAUGCGUAGAUAUCUAUCGGAACGCCAAAGGUGAAGACAGGCCGCUGGGCUCGUCCUGACGCUGAGGUACGAAAGCGUGGGUAGCGAACGGGAUUAGAUACCCCGGUAGUCCACGCCGUAAACGAUGCACACUAGGUCGGGGAGGUUUGACGCCCUCCUGGCCGAAGCAAAAGUGUUAAGUGUGCCGCCUGGGGAGUACGGUCGCAAGGCUAAAACUCAAAGGAAUUGACGGGGGCUCACACAAGCGGUGGAGCAUGUGGCUUAAUUCGAAGCAACGCGAAGAACCUUAUCCAGGGUUUGACAUCCCGGAUUAAACCAUUGAAAGAUGGUCUACACCCUUUGGGUGGAACGGUGACAGGUGCUGCAUGGCUGUCGUCAGCUCGUGCUGUGAAGUGUCGGGUUAAGUCCCUCAACGAGCGCAACCCUUAUCGUUAGUUGCUAACAGGUAAUGCUGAGGACUCUAGCGAGACUGCCGGUGUUAAACCGGAGGAAGGUGGGGAUGACGUCAAGUCCUCAUGGCCUUUAUGCCCUGGGCUGCACACGUGCUACAAUGGUAGGUACAAAACGAUGCAAGACCGCGAGGUGGAGCAAAUCGCUAAAACCUGCCCCAGUUCGGAUUGCAGGCUGCAACUCGCCUGCAUGAAGUCGGAAUCGCUAGUAAUCGUGGAUCAGCUACGCCACGGUGAAUACGUUCCUGAGCCUUGUACACACCGCCCGUCAAGUCAUGGAAGCUGGCAGCGCCCGAAGUCGCCCCGAUUCAGGGGUGCCCACGGCGAGGCUGGUGACUGGGACUAAGUCGUAACAAGGUAGCCGUAGGGGAACCUGCGGCUGGAUCACCUCCUUU
rnacentral:rRNA from 1 species